rnacentral:rRNA from 2 species
AUGGGUAGCAAACAGGAUUAGAUACCCUGGUAGUCCAUACCGUAAACGAUGAAUGCUAAGUGUUGGAGGGUUUCCGCCCUUCAGUGCUGCAGCUAACGCAUUAAGCAUUCCGCCUGGGGAGUACGGCCGCAAGGCUGAAACUCAAAGGAAUUGACGGGGGCCCGCACAAGCGGUGGAGCAUGUGGUUUAAUUCGAAGCUACGCGAAGAACCUUACCAGGUCUUGACAUACUAUGCAAAUCUAAGAGAUUAGACGUUCCCUUCGGGGACAUGGAUACAGGUGGUGCAUGGUUGUCGUCAGCUCGUGUCGUGAGAUGUUGGGUUAAGUCCCGCAACGAGCGCAACCCUUAUUAUCAGUUGCCAGCAUUAAGUUGGGCACUCUGGUGAGACUGCCGGUGACAAACCGGAGGAAGGUGGGGAUGACGUCAAAUCAUCAUGCCCCUUAUGACCUGGGCUACACACGUGCUACAAUGGAUGGUACAACGAGUUGCGAACUCGCGAGAGUAAGCUAAUCUCUUAAAGCCAUUCUCAGUUCGGAUUGUAGGCUGCAACUCGCCUACAUGAAGUCGGAAUCGCUAGUAAUCGCGGAUCAGCAUGCCGCGGUGAAUACGUUCCCGGGCCUUGUACACACCGCCCGUCACACCAUGAGAGUUUGUAACACCCAAAGUCGGUGGGGUAACCUUUUAGGAACCAGCCGCCUAAGGUGGGACAGAUGAUUAGGGUGAAGUCGUAACAAGGUAGCCGUAGGAGAA